rnacentral:misc_RNA from 1 species
AAAAAAAAAGAAAAAAGAAAAGAAGAAAGAAGAGUUAUCAUUAUUCUAUAUGGUUCUUAAUCAACUGGACAAUAUAUUGAAAAUUAAUCUGGUUCUGAUGGCGUCAGGGGGGAAAUGUUUUAUUUUUUAUGUUGUUGCAGCAGUGGAAAUUGUUGUUAAGUUUCUAGAUUAACUUGCAAUGUUAAAUAUUCCCCUUGAACCAGUGAGUUAAAAGUUUCCUUAGUAGAUUUUUGUUUUAUCAAAGUAUAAUAAAGGCCCUUCAUUCAGUGAAAGAAUUUCUAGUGUACGGAUUUUAUCAGUUUUUUAUGAUAAGGCAAGCAUAGGAAAGCUGUAAUGAUCGUCUCCAUUGCUUCCACAAUUUAAAGAGUACUAAGAAAUUCUAAUUGCAAAUAACCUAACAAAGAAUAUGGUCAUGACAAAUCUAAGCUGCAAUUGUUUUCCCUUUGACUCUUUGCCAUAGAAAAAAAAUGUAUUGUUUCAAUGGUUAUUUAAGUUUGCUUAUUGUUUUCUUUUGGAUUUAGAUUCUAGGUGAUGGGGAGGUA